AAAAAUAAAUAAUGUAAAUUCCUACUUCACCUAGGUUUUAUGUCAAUCUCAAAACAGGAAAAAUCUCUUU
rnacentral:sRNA from 1 species